UCGAAGCCUCGAAAGCACGACCGUGAAUGAGUUUACAAUCGUGGGAGCCCUGCAUGGCCCUUGGGCCGCCUGGUGCUACCUCGCUCGGCUGGCGAGGAGACUUGCGCUCUUCGCCUUUCGAAACUAACGAACCCCGGCGUGGAUAGCGCCAAGGAACCAAAAUGAGAAGUGCUUGACCCUCCAACCUGUUAAUCGGAUAGCAGGGACUUGCCUAUUCACUAAUUCACAACGACUCUCGGCAACGGAUAUCUCGGCUCUCGCAUCGAUGAAGAACGUAGCAAAAUGCGAUACUUGGUGUGAAUUGCAGAAUCCCGUGAAUCAUCGAGUCUUUGAACGCAAGUUGCGCCCGAAGCCUUUAGGCYGAGGGCACGUCUGCCUGGGCGUCAUGCACCGCGAUGCCCUCAUGCAAACAUGCUGGGCGAAUCUUGGCCCCCCGUGAACCCAACUCGCGGUUGGCUUAAAAGAGAGCCUCGAGACGGAAGAACGUCGCGACAAGUGGUGGUUAUGAGGCAUUCGGCCCCGAAACUUAGCACGUCGCGGGGUCUCCCCUCCCUUGCUCAGAAAAGACCUUAGCGGAGCGCUUUUGCGCAGCCAGCAUA
rnacentral:misc_RNA from 1 species